GACGAACGCUGGCGGCGUGCUUAACACAUGCAAGUCGAACGGAAAGGCCUCUUUCGGGGGGUACUCGAGUGGCGAACGGGUGAGUAACACGUGAGUAACCUGCCCUUGACUUUGGGAUAACUUCAGGAAACUGGGGCUAAUACCGGAUAGGAGCUCCUGCUGCAUGGUGGGGGUUGGAAAGUUUCGGCGGUUGGGGAUGGACUCGCGGCUUAUCAGCUUGUGGGUGGGGUAGUGGCUUACCAAGGCUUUGACGGGUAGCCGGCCUGAGAGGGUGACCGGCCACAUUGUGACUGAGAUACGGCCCAGACUCCUACGGGAGGCAGCAGUGGGGAAUAUUGCACAAUGGGUGCAAGCCUGAUGCAGCGACGCCGCGUGAGGGAUGGAGGCCUUCGGGUUGUAAACCUCUUUCGCCAGUGAAGCAGGCCUGCUCCUUGUGGGUGGGUUGACGGUAGCUGGAUAAGAAGCGCCGGCUAACUACGUG
rnacentral:rRNA from 1 species